rnacentral:rRNA from 1 species
AUUGAACGCUGGCGGCAUGGCUAAAACAUGCAAGUCGAACGAUCCCUUCGGGGAGAGUGGCGAAAGGGCGAGGAAUAGAAUCGAAUGUACCCCAAGGUGGGGGAUAGCCUCUGGAAACGGAGGGUAAUACCCCAUGUGCUCUACGGAGGAGAGGUUUACCGCCUUGGGAGCAGCGAUUCUCCUAUCAGGUAGUUGGUGAGGUAACGGCUCACCAAGCCGAAGACGGGUAGCGGGUGUGAGAGCAUGACCCGCCGCAUCGGGACUGAGACACUGCCCGGACUCCUACGGGAGGCUGCAGUAACGAAUCUUCCGCAAUGGGCGAAAGCCUGACGGAGCAAUGCCGCGUGUGGGAUGAAGCAUCUUCGAUGUGUAAACCACUGUCAGGGUCUAGGAAUACUGACCAGACCCAAAGGAAGGGCCGGCUAAUUCCGUGCCAGCAGCCGCGGUAAAGUCAGUGAC